GAAAGCCGUAUGCGGGAAAACUGCAAGUACGGUUUGAUGAGGGGGGACAGGACUUCUUGCUAUGGGCAACCCUAAACGGGCACGAAGCUGAAAACGGCGGAUACAGCCAAGGGUUGACCUAAUGAAAGCUGAGCCUGUCCUCUACUCUAC
rnacentral:ncRNA from 1 species